rnacentral:rRNA from 1 species
CCUACGGGUGGCAGCAGUGAGGAAUAUUGGUCAAUGGGCGAGAGCCUGAACCAGCCAAGUCGCGUGAGGGAAGACGGCCCUAUGGAUUGUAAACUUCUUUUGUCAGGGAGCAAAUGACGCCACGUGUGGCGUUACCAGAGUAACCGAAGAAAAAGGAUUGGCCAACUUCGGUCCAGCAGCCGCGGUAAUACGGAGGAUGCGGGUGUUAUUCGGAUUUUUUGGGUUUAAAGGGUGCGCAGGCGGAAGAUCAAGUCAGCGGUAAAAUUGAGAGGCUCAACCUCUUCGAGCCGUUGAAACUGGUUUUCUUGAGUGAGCGAGAAGUAUGCGGAAUGCGUGAUGUAGCGGUGAAAUGCAUAGAUAUCACGCAGAACUCCGAUUGCGAAGGCAGCAUACCGGCGCUCAACUGACGCUCAUGCACGAAAGUGUGGGUAUCGAACAGGAUUAGAUACCCUGGUAGUC